CCUUAAUCCAGAGCAAGGCCAGGGAUCAAACCUGCAGCCUCAUGGACACUGUGUUGUGUUCUUAACCCACUGAGCCACAACAGGAACUCCCAUAUCUAUUUUUGAGCUGUGUUUCUGCUCUGUGGUGUAGGUGGGCAGGACUGGAGCACUCCCACUAAGAGUGGAGCCCUUGAGUAUUCCUUUGCUAGAGCUCUCCACCUGUGAGUGUGCUUCGUUGUGUCACUUUUUACCUGUUGUGUGGGUUCGCAAAAUACGCUAUUGUUGCCACUGCUCUGCCAGCAAUUGGUUUUAGUGUCUCUUAGGCAUUGUUUUCACCCCAGGCCAUCAGCUCAUAUCUGAUGAAGUCAGGUCCUAGGAUUUUAUAGUUGUACCCAUGUGCCCACUGUGGAAGCUAUGAAGAGAGCUUAGACUCUGGCCUGGUCAGUCCUACAGAGCCCACAGAUGUUAAAGUCAGACCCACCAUAUCACUUGCAGGUUUCAUGGAAUAUCUAGGGUUCUCUGCACUCCCAGGAUAGUAGGAGCAGAGACCAGUUCCCCCUUACAGGUUUCAUGAGGUAUCUGUGCCUCUCUGCACUCCUGGGGCAGAUGGAGCAGAUUCUAGUGAUUGCUGGCAAAUUUCAUGUGGUGUCAGUGCCCCACUGUACUCCCAGGACAGAUGGAAUGGAGACAUCCCAAUUUUCACAGGGAUGACUCAUCCUAGAGAGCUGCUGGGACUGUGGUGUUAGGGCCUGGCACCUGAAGGCAAUUUUUUUCUGGGUAUCUGGGGUUCAGGUGCUUCAGGGAUUCCAGAGGCAGAGCUCAGCUCCUGCUUGCCAUUGGUCUCCUAGCAGCUGCUGCUAUCUGGGUCUCACAAUGGUACCAGUACUCUAACAGGUGUUUCCUGUUACCUAAGAGUGCUCACAGAGGAGGAAGCUCUUAGCGGCAGCCCUAUCCCCCUCCUCAAUGCCUCCCAACAAUGGUGCCUUGCCUCUCUGGCAGGACAUGAUUUCUUCUGGGUACACCAUCCUGUGUCACCAUCCAGCCUCUCUGAGCUGUCUCUGAGCAGCUAAGCUAAGCCUAGUCAUCUCCCUGAGUCUGACAUGAAUCCUGAGUUUCAACUCCCAGCCCCCACCUACUCCAGGGGAUGAGGCUGGGAAGUGCAGCAGUGCAGUGCUUACCCUCUGCGAGGAUGACUGUUUUGCCCCUUGCAAACUGCCUGCUGCUCUUUCCUCCUGGACUCCAGAGUUCCCCCUCUGUUCAGGCUGAUCCCUCCACCAGUGAGAGAGCUCCCCAGGGUGUAGGAACUUUUUCUCCCUCACAAUUCCCUCCCUCAGGUGCAGAUCCCAUCAUCCUGGUUGCUUUCUCUCUCUCUCCCUCUCCUUUUGUCUGUUUCCUUUCUUCCCUCCCCCCACCCCAUACUCUUUAGCCUAAUGGGGUUUUCUUGCCUUUUCAGAAGUCUGAUGUUUUUGUCAGUGUUCAGUAGAUGUUCUGUGUGGAUUGUUCCACUCGUAGAUGUAUUUUUAUGUUUCUGUAAGAGGAGGGGAACUCCAUGUCCUAUUCCUCCACUAUCUUCUCUCCUGCUCUCAAUUCCCUAGCUUUUCACUGUGCUUUCCUGGCUUACAUUUCUAUGCUCUUUUAGGAAAAUAGUUCCAAAUGUGAUCUCUUUAUUGUGUCUGUGAAUAUAUGUACAAGCUUGUAUAUAUAUGAUUUUUGGAUAUUAUCAAUACUGUACAUUGCUUGCUUUUAAUCGUAUUCCAUGUAUCAUUGUUAUAAGAAAGAAAAUAUUAAUGCUCACUUACCUCUUGAUUUUCCUAAAUAUUUUAUCUGUUUUAAAUGGUAAUAUGCUAGAAAGUAAUUUUACCCAAUUAGUUUAAUUCCACUUAUAUUUUAAUAGAUAACAGAAAAAUUCAUGCAUGGAUUUUAUCUUUCAGAAAAUGGCUUAUUUUUCCUAACAGCGAUAUUUGUCAAGAAGCUGAAAUGACAAAUUCUUUAUCUUCUUGAACCUCAACUAUGAUGUAGCUCAUUACAUUAGCACCAAGAAAGCAGGCUGUAAAUUACCACGGUGUGUUCAGGCAUGUCUGCAAGUUUGACAUUGCCUUCUUUCUAGAACAUCCAUCAUUCCAGAAAUGUCCUGAGUACUGAAGGGACAGACUACAAAGAAAUUAAAUCCCAAAAUGGAAGAACACAGUUUUUACUCUUAAUAUCAGAUACCAGGUACUAUCAUAUUGGUUGAGUUUCUCCUUAGUGAUCAUCAGAAAUUCAUGCUUUAAGAACUAUAGAGAGUUUACAUAUGUUUACAUAGUUUAUAGCGAUUGGAAAUGGGAUAAAAAUGGAGUGGAGUAAAAUUAAUAUAAAAAAAUCUGAAACAUGAAUAAAAGGUAUUUUUUCAAACAUUUUAGGAAAUAAGAAAUGUUUAUAAAAAUCACUUUCAAGACUGAUAAAUAUGUUAUUUUUAAAGAAUAUGCUUGGAGUGAGGACAAGUCAAGACUUUUUUAUUGCAAUACUUAUACUGCAUAACGUAGGACUAUAAAUACUCUUUAAGUAGCUGAAGAGAAAGAACAUGUUGAAAUGCACAAAUUGCAAUGUCUUUUUCUGGCCUAAAAAUGUUAAGUUCUCCAAGGGAAUAAAUGGGCAAUAAGAACUCCUUAUUUAAAUGUGAUGUCCACCAAGAAAAUUAAUUAAUUAUGGAUAGAAUAUUCCAUCACACACUCAUUGAUUUCAGUCAGCACCAAUGCAAGUUCUAUCGUUUAGGACUUAAAAAGAAUAAGACAUCAAGAAAAUUUCUGAUCCUAUAAUUUUUUUCCUGGGAAGUGGAAAUGGAAAAACGGAAGUGAAAAUUAUGUCUUUUAUUUUAAUAUUCAGUUUUAAUUUUCUCAUCUUAAUAUCUAUAAUGCUAAUGUUGGGUAGAACUCAGGUACUUAUUUUUUAGCUAUUUCAUGUUGUUUUAUAAUUAAAACAUUGCUCAUUUUACUUAGCCUACAGUUAAGAUAGAAACAACAUCGAAAUAUUUCUUCACUUUAGGAUAGCUAUAUUAAAUAAUGGUAAACUACAUAUCUGUAUUCACAUGUUUGUGAUAAAUAAUCAAAUGCAAAGGUAAAUGAGAAAGUAAGUCAAUUCCCAUGAAUUUGCAGCUGGGGUAGAAAAGUUCCUUCCAUUGAAUGUGUGAUGACCUAAUCCCCAACACCUAUAAGUGUUACCUUAAAUAACAAAAAGAGCUUGACUGAGCUAGGGCAUGGGCCAUCACAAAGUGAGGGGAGCCUGAAUUACCCAGGUGUGCCCAAUCUAAUCACAAGCAUUCUUAAAAGAAGAGAAAUGUUCCAGCUGGAAGAAGAGGUUGGCAGUGAGAUAUAGCGGAAGUGAAGCAGGAGAAGUUCAAGGUCUGAGACGUCUACCUACGUUUGGGUGGGAGGAGGAGUGGCCCAGGGGUGUUGAAGACAACCGGAAUGCGUGAGAAUAAAUGCAUGCAACCUCUAGGAACUAAAGGCUGCUAACCAGCUGACAACAAGCAAGGACCUCAGUCCUGGGAACUGAGUGCUUUCACAACAAGAAGGAGUUUGGAAACACAUUCAUUCCUACCCAGAGCCUCCUGAAAGGGACCUUGAUGGAGGAAUAUCAGUUUCUGCCUUUGAGACCCUAAGAAGACCAGCUGAGCCUACCUGCGCUUAUGACCUGCCUGACCUACAAGAUGAAGCUGCAGCAGUCCUCUUAUAAACUUGCAGGUGGAAAUGACUCAGUAUCGAUGACAGAGCAAAAACACAGAAGCCACCUCGGUCUUAGCUGAUUGCACAGACCUACCAAGCCAACCAUCAACCAUUUCCCUCUGGGAUUCUUUUAUAUGAAAGAAUAAACCAUGUUGUACCUAUUUGCAGUGUGGUAGCUAUUAAAAUGUAAUUUCUAACUGACACAGUAACUUUUAGAAAAUAACAAAUCGACGUUACUAUAAAGAUGUCAAAAGUCAGAAAGAAGUAAGGAACAAUGUCAUCAUGCUAUCAGCUAUGAAAUGAAUCUGUAAAAUGCUGUCAACUAAAAUAAAUGCUCUUCUCAGUGUUUUCUUC